AAUCCUUUAUUCUAAAUGCUUAUUAAAUCAUGCAACCAUUAACCCUAAUUUUUCCCUCUAAUUAUCUAUCAUUAAAUGCUAAUGCUAAAAAAAUUCGCUCCUAUGCAAGUUCAAUUUGAAUUUAAAAUUUAAAAUUGACUUUUGGUGUAUCCCAUGCAAGCCCAAAUAAUCAUCCACUCAGCAUGAUUUAUGCGGUUAAAUUCUCUCAACUUCUCAAAAAAUCCAUCGUCCCCUCCAAUUCCUUUGUUUUGAUCUCCACCACUUCACCCUCUCUCUUUCAAACCUUCUGAUUGAUUAACGAUUCCGUCGGCAACCUUCUCAAACUUUCUGAUUGACUUUCCGUGGGAACAGGAAGCGCAUCAACGAUUCCGGCGGCGAAGAUAAUUCUUCCAAGAGAAAAUCCAAAAUGGUGAAAGCUUCCGAAGAAGAAGGUGCUAAAGACUAUCUGCAAGCCUGAAUCGAUACAUAAAGAACAAUUGAAAAUAAGCGGGAAGUUGAUGAAACUAUCUACAAGCCUGAUGAUGAAGAGGUUUGGUGUCUUUGGCCUAUUCACAUGGGAAAAGUGUGAAGGCUCUUUUCUCACCAUAUUAAAGUUAAUUGCUUUUUGUAUUCUGUACAGUGUGAAAGCUUCAUGAGUUAAUGGCAACAUGUUUUCUUUUUGCCUUCAUUUUAGUGUGUGCAACAAAUGUUGAUGCUUUUGUUUUUUUAUUGUGUUUUAACUCUGCUAAACUUAUUUUAAAAUGAAAUUGGUUGUGAUAUACUGCAUGAGCUCAGCAUUAUAACAUUCUUUGAUAUUAUCUUGCAGAUACUUGAUUGGAGCCUAAACUCAGAAGAGUAUAAAUAAAGGAUUAACAUAGAAAAGUGAUAUACUUGAUUCUACAUGAUAUACUUGAUUGCAGUGCUAAUUUACAUGAUUGCAGAUACUUGAGCUCACCUUUUGAAGUCUAAAGUGAUAUACUUGAUUGGAUCUACAUGAUUUCAGUAACAAAGAAAAGUAUAUUAACACCAUGAAGCUAAUGACCAAGAUGUGUUGUCAAAACUAAUGUCUCAAUGCAAAUUGAGAUGGUCAAUUAGUUGUUCAUGAUUUUUUUUUUCUAUAUAGGUGCUUCAACCCGGUGUCUUUUAUAUGCAAUCUAUCCAGUGCUAAUUUACUGUUUUAUGGUUUAAAUUAAUGGCCAAAUCAUGCAUCCCUGUUAUUGCUUGAAUUUCGUGAGAGUCUGUGGAAACUGAGAUUAUAAUCUAACAACUUAUAAGAUCUGAUGUUGGUUAUGAAAGAUGUUGAAUAGGGAAGCAAACCAAGAGGCAGAUUGUCUAGCAAAGGAAGGAUCUUCGGUGACAGGACGACAUGUAGCGUGGUUUAUGAAUUAAGCUUUGUUUGGUUUCUGCAGGCUGUUGUUGAUCCGUUUGCAGAAGGUUUUCUGGUUAUUGCUUAAUGUCAUCUGUUUGGGAUAACCAAGAAUGCUGGUAGGAGUAGGUUUGUGCAUUUUCAGUUGUUUGUACAUAUUGGUGUUUCGUCCUUUAGUCAUGAGCAGACCUUUAGAUUAUUUUGUAGAGUUAUUUUCUGGUUUUGUUGCAGCAACAUGUUCUGCUAUGCUGCUAAUUUUACACUUUUGGUGGGGUUUUGGUGCAGCAGAAAGUUCUAAUUUGCUGCUAUUUUUGUUUGUUCAAGUCCUAUGGUGUCCAUGUUGCUUUUAAGGUUCAUGUAUUGGGACAAGGAAUGUUAAAACUUCAUUGUAUCGACAAGGACAAAGUUUUAAUGUUUCUAUCCAUAUUUUUCAAACAAUUUCAUACUCUUGAUUAGAUCACCUUUCAGAUUUUUGUAUUUUCAAAUGAUGAGAUGUUUAUAAUAAGAUGUUGUAAAUGAGUGAUAAUCCUUGCCUCUGUCAAAUUCAUUUUUUAAAGUUUUGUUGUCUUUGUAAAGUUAGUUGUGAUGUCUUUUAUUGAGUUUUCAUUGGCAUCUAUUCUUUUAGGGGAAAAAAUACUGAUGUGCAACUACUGAAAUCAUAGUGUUUAUUCAAUGAAUGACAAAACAUACUUGCA